rnacentral:rRNA from 1 species
UUACCUGGCCUUGACAUACUAAGAACUUUCCAGAGAUGGAUUGGUGCCUUCGGGAACUUAGAUACAGGUGCUGCAUGGCUGUCGUCAGCUCGUGUCGUGAGAUGUUGGGUUAAGUCCCGCAACGAGCGCAACCCUUUUCCUUAUUGCCAGCGGGUUAAGCCGGGAACUUUAAGGAUACUGCCAGUGACAAACUGGAGGAAGGCGGGGACGACGUCAAGUCAUCAUGGCCCUUACGGCCAGGGCUACACACGUGCUACAAUGGUCGGUACAAAGGGUUGCUACCUCGCGAGAGGAUGCUAAUCUCAAAAAGCCGAUCGUAGUCCGGAUCGCAGUCUGCAACUCGACUGCGUGAAGUCGGAAUCGCUAGUAAUCGCGGAUCAGAAUGCCGCGGUGAAUACGUUCCCGGGCCUUGUACACACCGCCCGUCACACCAUGGGAGUUUGUUGCACCAGAAGUAGGUAGUCUAACCGCAAGGAGGACGCUUACCACGGUGUGGCCGAUGACUGGGGUGAAGUCGUAACAAGGUAAGCGUAGAUGA